GCUGUAGCUCAGUGGUGAAGCAACUGCUUUGCAUGCAGAAGGUCCCAGAUUCAAUCCUCGGCAUAUCCA